rnacentral:sRNA from 1 species
GUUGCCUGAGUAACCGUAUGAUGGUGGUGGUGGUGGUGUCUUCCUGUCUCAACGAUACCAAUUUUCUAGUGCUGAGAUCCUGAGACAAUGAAUCAUAGUGAAAGAUUCGUUUUCAUUGCAGAGUGGUAUGAUCCAAAUGCUUCACUUCUUCGACGUUAUGAGCUUUUAUUUUACCCAGGGGAUGGAUCUGUUGAAAUGCAUGAUGUAAAGAAUCAUCGCACCUUUUUAAAGCGGACCAAAUAUGAUAACCUGCACUUGGAAGAUUUAUUUAUAGGCAACAAAGUGAAUGUCUUUUCUCGACAAUUGGUAUUAAUUGACUAUGGGGAUCAAUAUACAGCUCGCCAGCUGGGCAGUAGGAAAGAAAAAACGCUAGCCCUAAUUAAACCAGAUGCAAUAUCAAAGGCUGGAGAAAUAAUUGAAAUAAUAAACAAAGCUGGAUUUACUAUAACCAAACUCAAAAUGAUGAUGCUUUCAAGGAAAGAAGCAUUGGAUUUUCAUGUAGAUCACCAAUCAAGACCCUUUUUCAAAUACAGGGGGUACACAUGCAGAUUUGUUACGUGGGAAUAUUGUGUGAUGCUGAGGUUUGGAGUAUGGAUCCCAUCAUCCAGGUAUGAGCUGAUCCAGUUUAUUACAACUGGUCCUAUUAUUGCCAUGGAGAUUUUAAGAGAUGAUGCUAUAUGUGAAUGGAAAAGACUGCUGGGACCUGCAAACUCUGGAGUGGCACGCACAGAUGCUUCUGAAAGCAUUAGAGCCCUCUUUGGAACAGAUGG